CAACUUUCAGCAACGGAUCUCUUGGCUCUCGCAUCGAUGAAGAACGCAGCGAAAUGCGAUAAGUAAUGUGAAUUGCAGAAUUCAGUGAAUCAUCGAAUCUUUGAACGCACCUUGCGCUCUUUGGUAUUCCGAGGAGCAUGCCUGUUUGAGUGUCAUGG
rnacentral:rRNA from 1 species